rnacentral:rRNA from 1 species
AGUGAACGCUGGCGGUAGGCCUAACACAUGCCAGUCGAACGGCAGCACAGUAAGAGCUUGCUCUUACGGGUGGCGAGUGGCGGACGGGUGAGGAAUACAUCGGAAUCUACUUUUUCGUGGGGGAUAACGUAGGGAAACUUACGCUAAUACCGCAUACGACCUACGGGUGAAAGCAGGGGAUCUUCGGACCUUGCGCGAUUGAAUGAGCCGAUGUCGGAUUAGCUAGUUGGCGGGGUAAAGGCCCACCAAGGCGACGAUCCGUAGCUGGUCUGAGAGGAUGAUCAGCCACACUGGAACUGAGACACGGUCCAGACUCCUACGGGAGGCAGCAGUAGGGAAUCUUGGACAAUGGGCGCAAGCCUGAUCCAGCCAUACCGCGUGAGUGAAGAAGGCCUUCGGGUUGUAAAGCCCUUUUGUUGGGAAAGAAAAGCAGCAGGUUAAUACCCCGCUGUUCUGACGGUACCCAAAGAAUAAGCACCGGCUAACUUCGUG